rnacentral:rRNA from 1 species
UACGAAGGGGGCUAGCGUUGCUCGGAAUCACUGGGCGUAAAGGGUGCGUAGGCGGCCAACUAAGUCAGACGUGAAAUCCCUCGGCUUAACCGGGGAACUGCAUCUGAUACUGGAUGGCUUGAGUUCGGGAGAGGGAUGCGGAAUUCCAGGUGUAGCGGUGAAAUGCGUAGAUAUCUGGAGGAACACCGGUGGCGAAGGCGGCAUCCUGGACCGGCACUGACGCUGAGGAGCGAAAGCCAGGGGAGCGAACGGG